rnacentral:rRNA from 1 species
GACGAACGCUGGCGGCGUGCCUAAUACAUGCAAGUAGAACGCUGAAGGAGGAGCUUGCUUCUCUGGAUGAGUUGCGAACGGGUGAGUAACGCGUAGGUGACCUGCCUGGUAGCGGGGGAUAACUAUUGGAAACGAUAGCUAAUACCGCAUAAGAGUAGAUGUUGCAUGACAUUUGCUUAAAAGGUGCAAUUGCAUCACUACCAGAUGGACCUGCGUUGUAUUAGCUAGUUGGUGAGGUAACGGCUCACCAAGGCAACGAUACAUAGCCGACCUGAGAGGGUGAUCGGCCACACUGGGACUGAGACACGGCCCAGACUCCUACGGGAGGCAGCAGUAGGGAAUCUUCGGCAAUGGACGGAAGUCUGACCGAGCAACGCCGCGUGAGUGAAGAAGGUUUUCGGAUCGUAAAGCUCUGUUGUAAGAGAAGAACGAGUGUGAGAGUGGAAAGUUCACACUGUGACGGUAUCUUACCAGAAAGGGACGGCUAACUACGUG